AUGACAAGCAAGAAACUUAAGCUUGUCAAUAUAGUCCAGGUCAUGCUCUUCCGCCGGAUCCUCCCGUGUCAACAACGGGAUUUCAACUUAUGGCAGUUCGACCCGGCCCGACACCAGACUCUAAGCGAGCUCUUCGACACGACGCAUAAAGACGUCUGGAGGGUGCUGUUCAAGGGCGCCGAGGUCCCUCCUUCUCUUACUGAGGACCGCGGGCUAAGCGUGAAGCGUUCUGCGAAUCCAGCUUCGCUGCUGACCUCUGCCGCACUGACUGCGGAGGUCGCCGCACUGAAGCAGGACCUCGAGGGGUCCGGGAAAGCGCUCAGCCUUGCCAAGAGGCAGCUCGAGGAGAACAAGGCGGCCACGACCGAAGUGGCGACCCUGAAGCAAGCGCUGUCCGAGGACGAAAACAAAGCAGCCAAGGAGCGCACCGAGCGGGAAAAGCAAGAGGCACGGGUGGGCGAGGUGCAGCAAGAGCUCCAGGCUCUCGUGAUGAAGCACGAGGCUUUGGAGCUUGACUCGAAGAUGCGAGAGUCUGAGCUUGCCGCGGCCCCUCGAGAGCGCAAAGAAUGCCAAGGCUGA
rnacentral:rRNA from 1 species